GGGAUAACUAUUGGAAACGAUAGCUAAUACCGCAUAAGAGUAGAUGUUGCAUGACAUUUGCUUAAAAGGUGCAAUUGCAUCACUACCAGAUGGACCUGCGUUGUAUUAGCUAGUUGGUGAGGUAACGGCUCACCAAGGCGACGAUACAUAGCCGACCUGAGAGGGUGAUCGGCCACACUGGGACUGAGACACGGCCCAG
rnacentral:rRNA from 1 species